GAAGGUCAGUCUUCAAAAGCAACUGCCAGCGAUAGGAAGGGCACUAUUUGUCACUCCCUCCCACACUGGGCGCAACUGAGGCCAGACAGGACAAGGCGAGGAGCAUCUCCCAGGAUUUUAUCGUCUUUUUCUUCUUCAAGAAAUACGGAGACACUGAAACCGGGUUGUCGCGAGAGGCAAACACGAGCACAAACUCACCAUGAAUAAAGUUCUUCUUCUGGCGAUGCUUCUGGCGGUUCUCGUAGGCGUGGCGUGGUCCUUCCCGCAGGUGGUCAUCACGCAGCCUCGGAAGUUCCCCGGAGAAAGGCGUUUGGGGACUAUUAACUACGGCCAAUAUCGCUUCGGCAAGAGAGGAUACCAGAGGAAGUGCCAUUCAAGAAAAAAAAACUGUAAGUUUCAUUAGAGAGAGAAAAAAAGCAAACUUACAGCUUAAACUGAACAUAUGAAUCCAAGCUAACAGAGGCUAUGCAUGGAAGGUAUAUAUAAGGUAUAAAGAGUUAUAUUUAGUAUGUUGGAGUCUGUUUACGUAUUGGAAAAUGAUAACAACCGUGUAGUGCAAACACAUAUUUUGGAUACGAAGUCAUGCAGUCGUUAACGAAAAGCACGUUAGACCAGGGAAUCUAAAUUAGUUUGUGAGGAAAAUACUACCACAGUGAAAGUUAUAUAUAUAAUUAAGAGACCUAAUAGUCAUGACAAAUUUUAAUCAAUUAUAGUGUCUGUACUCUUAUUGUCAUUCCAACUGUGUUAACUUGAAAUCAAUGUAAGGCUGAACGUCUUGAAAUACUCAAGUCGGCAAAAGUUCUGAUAAUAAUCCAUGGUCAAAUUGCCUUACCAUGGAAAAUUGGACCGUCUACUACCAUGGAAUAGUUACUGGCACCAACGAAAGCCGCACAAGAGGUGUUGUGAAAUCCAGAUUUAUGUUCAUUUUCAUCGAUUUGGUGUCUCUUUGGCGGACCUUCCUUAAGGGAUCUGAAACUAUUGUCAAAACUGUAGGUUAGGAGGAACCUAUGGUAUGUGGUAAAUUGAUUUAUAUUAAAUCAGCCAUGUUUAUAAUGAUUUAGUACCUUUGUGCAUAUUUACGUAUAAGCUAUGCAGUAUUAUUUUAACACAUUGUUAACAAAGUUGUUACACUUAGUA